AGGAGGAAGCAGGAAAAAAUGAAUCAUUAUUUACAGACAAUAUAACUGAAUCCAUGGAAAAUCCUGAAGACUCUACGGAUUAAUGAUUAGAACUGAUGAGUGAAUUUACCAAGCUCACUAGAAGGAAUUUGAAGGUGAAGAGACCAAAAGAUCAACAUCUGUUGUUCCCCGUGAAGAAUCUAUAGAAUGCUGCAUCCUAUCUAACAGUACUGAAUUAGUUGAAUUCGUUUUUUAAAUAUCUGUAUAGAAAAAUGCACCAGACUGAAGCAGCCAAGGACUGAGCGGAAGUCAGAGGGAAGAAAGAAGAGAACAAAUAGAACCAGGAAAAGAGAAGCAAACCAGGAAGGACAUUAGAGCACAGGGCUGCCGUGCCGUAAGGGUGCAGACGCGGGCAUAGGCAUCCGCCGCACAGAGGGAUGCACAGGACACGAUCCACGGCUAUGGAGGGGAGACGGGCAGAAAGCUCAGCGAGUGGUUGUCACUAGCUGCCAUAGCCUCUCCUUCAGGGGUGCUUAUGAAGAAUCCCCAAGUAAGUCAGAGGACUGAACACGAAGCUGGUGUCUGUAAGAGCUACUCUGGAUGUGAACAAUGUCCUUAACACUGAACACAAGACUGUGGACAUAAUUAUGAGCAUGCUGUUACUGCUUCCAUCUUAAAGUAAAUCAAAAUGAAAAAAUGAAAAUCCUUUUUCUUCACUUCACUUCUAUGGCUAGCUACCACUCUGCUAAUUUGCUCUCCUUUUUAGCAAAACUCCAUGAAAAAAAGUUGUCUAUACUGACUGCCUCUCACUCUCCUAAAUUAAUAAUGCUUUGUCCCAAGCAGUCCACAAACACUCUUGCUGGUAAGGUCACCUGUGACCUCUAAGUUGUGAUGGUUAGUUUUCUGGUGUUCAGCCCAUUGAUUGCUCCCUCCUCCUGGAUACAAUUCUUUACUUGCCUCCCUGGAUGCCAUAUUUUCCUGGUACAGUCUCCUAAUUUUUCCUUUUCAGCUCCUUUGCUGACUCCAACUUCUAAACACCACAGUAUUUCAGGGCUGGUCAGUUCUUGAACCCCUUGUCUACCUAUAUGCACUAACUUGGUGAUCUUGUCCAAUCCAGUGGCUUUAAAUAUCAUCUGUAUGCCAACAACUCCCAAAUUUAUGUCUUAAAUUCAGAGCUCAUUCCUUAAUUCCAGACUCAAGUUUCCAACUGCCUAUGCAGCAUCUCCAUUUAAACGUCCACAGAUGACACAGUAUAAUUUAUCCAAGACUGAACUUUUCUCUCUAUUCAAAAAUCAGUCCUACCUGCAGCUUUCCUUAUCUCAGUUGAUAGCUCCAUCCUUCCAGCUGCUCAAGACAAAAGCCUUAGAGACUUGCUUGAUCCACUUUCCCUUACACUACAUCUAAUGCCUUAGGAAAUCUUUUUGGCACUAUCUAGAAAAUAUAUGCUCUGGCCUUACAUGAUGUGGUUCCUUAUCACCUCUCCAACUUCCUCUCCUGCUAUUCUCUCCCCUUCCUCUUCCCUCCUAUUCCACACUGGCCUCCUUUCUGUACCUCACACAUGCCAGCCCCUCCCACCACAGGGCCUUUGCACUGGCUCUUCCCUCUGUCUAAUAAUAUGCUCUUCCCUCAUCUUCACAGAGUUUACAUGCCACCUUCCUCACAUCUUUGCUCAAAUGUCACUUGCUCAACAAAGAUUUCCAUGACCACUCUAUUGAAAAUUGCAACUAUAUUCCCCUUACAGUACUUUAUUUUCUUACUAGCAAUUAUUAUCUGUUAACAUAUUAUGUAAUUUACUUACUUAUUAUAUCUAUGGCUUAUUUUUGUCUCUGCUACCAAAAUGUAAUUUUCAUGAAGGCAGGGACCUCCAUUUGUUCUGUCCACUGAUAUAUUUCAAGCACUUUUAACAGUGCCUGGUGUAUGGUAAAUGCUCAAUAAUAAAGUGAAUGAAGGAAUCAGAUGAACAUUACCCAUCUUGUAUGUUGCAAAACCACCUCCUGUCAUUUUGUUCACAUUCUGUAUAAAAUUCUUCCCCAAAGGUCUUCAGGAAACCUGAUUAUUGAUUGGUUCCCAUUAUAUGCACAUGUGUGUAAUAAAGUGUUGACAAGCUUUUUCUUUAAUUCUCAACUCAGAGGUGGUUUGGAUGGAUUAAAUGAGAUAACAUAUGUAAAGAGUUCUUGAACCCAGUAAAACAUGGUGCAAAUUGGAGAAAUAAUGAGGAUUUCUGUGUGAUCUUUCCCAUGCUAUGCUCUUGGUGGUAAUCAGAGGUUCACAGUGCUGAAUGGUCAAUAAAUUCUUAUUUAACUGAAUUGUUGAGAGGUGGGAUGGAAUGUUGAUUCAUCUGUGGGAAACACAAGAAUUAUGAUUUAGGCAGUCUCUGUGGAUUGACCUAUUAGUCAAGAAACACUGUGUAAUUUCAAAAGGCAAGGACAGGAUGAACUAUCUCACUGAGGACGGCACUUGACAUUUGCAAAGAGGAAAUGGGACUUAACACAGCCAACAGCAAACAUAUGGAUCACAUUGCUCUCAAAGGACGUGCACACUAAAAAUAUAAAUGGGAGGGAUAUGACGGUAUCUACAUUCCAGGCUGAGAAGCCAUCUGGGGUUACAGCCCUUCCUUUUGAGCAUAACUUAAGGGAGGACACCCAGCUUAUCGACCACCUGUUUCUUGGUGUCAGUGUCAGAAACAGAGCCUGGUCUGGUUGGCUCUGUACCUGACUCAGCCCUCCCCGGGAUCCUUAUGGCCCUGAGGGAAUUCUCAGAGGAGAUUCUGGGACUAGUUGGAAAGGGCAUAUAUGUGUGUGUGGUGGGAAGGAACUCGAUCAGAGGGGUCUAUGGCUGUUGGCCCUAGCUGUGGAAUCAGGAUUGCCUCUCAGGUUCUGUCCUCACAAACUCAAGAGUCAGGGUGGGGCCGAAGCAGGCCCAGCCAGGUGGCACUGGCCAGCAUGUUGUCUAUUCUGGGGUUGGCUCAUAUGCUAACUUGAGGGACUCCCUGAUGGAAUUGGUAAGAGACACAUGGAACCUGGUACUGGCAAGCUAUCUGGAGAGGGGAGUUCCUAUAAUGUUGUGUGUG